rnacentral:rRNA from 1 species
AUACGUAGGGGGCGAGCGUUGUCCGGAAUGAUUGGGCGUAAAGGGCGCGUAGGCGGCGCGGUAAGUCUGGAGUGAAAGUCCUGUUUUUAAGAUGGGAAUUGCUUUGGAUACUGUCGGGCUUGAGUGCAGGAGAGGUAAGUGGAAUUCCCAGUGUAGCGGUGAAAUGCGUAGAGAUUGGGAGGAACACCAGUGGCGAAGGCGACUUACUGGACUGUAACUGACGCUGGGGCGCGAAAGUGUGGGGAGCAAACAGGAUUAGAUACCCUGGUAGUCCACACUGUAAACGAUGAAUGCUAGGUGUAGGGGGUAUCGACCCCUUCUGUGCCGCAGUCAACACAAUAAGCAUUCCGCCUGGGGAGUACGGCCGCAAGGUUGAAACUCAAAUGAAUUGACGGGG